AACUGAUACUACCUGCGGGAACCUGCGGAAGGAUCAUUGCAGUUUGGUGGGUGGGUUUGGGGAGGAGGAUGCGAGCGUCGUGUGACUUGACUUGUCGUGCGUCGUGUUGUGUUCAUUCCCACCAUCCUUAUUGCGCGUUCUUGUGUGACAGUUCAAGAAAAGAGUGAGUAUUCAUUCACAUGACAUGACAACUUUCAGCAACGGAUCUCU
rnacentral:misc_RNA from 1 species